AUUGAACGCUGGCGGCAUGCUUUACACAUGCAAGUCGGACGGCAGCGGGGGUGCUUGCACCUGCCGGCGAGUGGCGAACGGGUGAGUAACAUAUUGGAAUGUACCGAGUAGUGGGGGAUAACCAAUCGAAAGAUUGGCUAAUACCGCAUACGUCCUGAGGGGGAAAGCAGGGGAUCUUCGGACCUUGCGCUAUUUGAGCAGCCAAUAUCUGAUUAGCUAGUUGGUGGGGUAAAGGCCCACCAAGGCGACGAUCAGUAGCGGGUCUGAGAGGAUGAUCCGCCACACUGGGACUGAGACACGGCCCAGACUCCUACGGGAGGCAGCAGUGGGGAAUUUUGGACAAUGGGGGCAACCCUGAUCCACCCCUGCCGCCUGUCUGAAGAAGGGCUUCGGGUUUUCAAAGGAUUUUUGUUAUUGAAGAAAAAGGAAGAGCGUAUACCUCUUG
rnacentral:rRNA from 1 species